rnacentral:rRNA from 1 species
AGCAGCCGCGGUAAUUCCAGCUCCAAUAGCGUAUAUUAAAGUUGUUGCAGUUAAAAAGCUCGUAGUUGAAUUUCGGGAUCAAUACGUCGGUCGUGCUUCGGUACGUACUGGCGUAAUUGAUUUCUCCCUUCUGACGAACCAUGAUGUCAUUAACUUGGUGUCAUGGGAAAUCAGGACUGUUACUUUGAAAAAAUUAGAGUGUUUAAAGCAGGCUCACGCUUGAAUACAUUAGCAUGGAAUAAUGAAAUAGGACGUUCGAUCCUAUUUUGUUGGUUUUUAGGAUCAACGUAAUGAUUAAUAGGGAUAGUUGGGGGCAUUAGUAUUCAAUUGUCAGAGGUGAAAUUCUUGGAUUUAUUGAAGACUAACUACUGCGAAAGCAUUUGCCAAGGAUGUUUUCAUUAAUCAAGAACGAAAGUUAGGGGAUCGAAGACGAUCAGAUACCGUCGUAGUCUUAACCAUAAACUAUGCCGACUAGGAUCGGAUGAUGUUAAUUUUUAAUGUACUCAUUCGGCGCCUUAAC